rnacentral:rRNA from 1 species
UACGGAGGAUGCAAGAGUUAUCCGGAUUUAUUGGGUUCAAAGGGUGCGCAGGCAGACUGUUAAGUCAGCGGUGAAAUGUCCCGGCUCAACCGGGGCACUGCCGUUGAUACUGGCAGACUUGAGUACGGACGGCGCCGGCGGAAUGUGUCAUGUAGCGGUGAAAUGCUUAGAUAUGCCACAGAACACCGAUCGCGAAGGCAGCUGGCGAGGCCGGGACUGACGCUCAGGCACGAAAGCGUGGGGAUCAAAC